rnacentral:rRNA from 1 species
GGGUAAUGGACUGCUUAUUGCACCACAUGUGUUUUUCUUUGAAACAAACUUGCUUUGGCGGUGGGCCCAGCCUGCCGCCAGAGGUCUAAACUUGCAACCAAUUUUUUAUCAACUUGUCACACCAGAUUAUUACUAAUAGUCAAAACUUUCAACAACGGAUCUCUUGGUUCUCGCAUCGAUGAAGAACGCAGCGAAAUGCGAUACGUAAUAUGAAUUGCAGAUAUUCGUGAAUCAUCGAAUUUUUGAACGCACAUUGCGCCCUCUGGUAUUCCGGAGGGCAUGCCUGUUUGAGCGUCGUUUCUCCCUCAAACCGCUGGGUUUGGUGUUGAGCAAUACGACUUGGGUUUGCUUGAAAGACGGUAGUGGUAAGGCGGGAUCGCUUUGACAAUGGCUUAGGUCUAACCAAAAACAUUGCUUGCGGCGGUAACGUCUACCACGUAUAUCUUCAAACUUUGACCUCAAAUCAGGUAGGACUACCCGCUGAACUUAAGCAUAUCAAAAGCGGAGGAA